rnacentral:rRNA from 1 species
AUUGAACGCUGGCGGCAGGCCUAACACAUGCAAGUCGAGCGGUUGAGGGGAGCUUGCUCCCUGAUUCAGCGGCGGACGGGUGAGUAAUGCCUAGGAAUCUGCCUAUUAGUGGGGGACAACGUUUCGAAAGGAACGCUAAUACCGCAUACGUCCUACGGGAGAAAGCAGGGGACCUUCGGGCCUUGCGCUAAUAGAUGAGCCUAGGUCGGAUUAGCUAGUUGGUGAGGUAAUGGCUCACCAAGGCGACGAUCCGUAACUGGUCUGAGAGGAUGAUCAGUCACACUGGAACUGAGACACGGUCCAGACUCCUACGGGAGGCAGCAGUGGGGAAUAUUGGACAAUGGGCGAAAGCCUGAUCCAGCCAUGCCGCGUGUGUGAAGAAGGUCUUCGGAUUGUAAAGCACUUUAAGUUGGGAGGAAGGGUUGUAGAUUAAUACUCUGCAAUUUUGACGUUACCGACAGAAUAAGCACCGGCUAACUCUGUGCCAGCCGCCGCCGUAA